UUAGUAACACGUGGAUAACCUACCUAUAAGACUGGGAUAACUUCGGGAAACCGGAGCUAAUACCGGAUAAUAUAUUGAACCGCAUGGUUCAAUAGUGAAAGACGGUUUUGCUGUCACUUAUAGAUGGAUCCGCGCCGCAUUAGCUAGUUGGUAAGGUAACGGCAUACCAAGGCAACGAUGCGUAGCCGACCUGAGAGGGUGAUCGGCCACACUGGAACUGAGACACGAUCCAG
rnacentral:rRNA from 1 species